rnacentral:rRNA from 1 species
UAUCAACGGCAUCACGAGGAUCCUACUGUCUCCCCCCUCUAAUCAGUGAAACUGAUCUCCCCGUGAAGAAGCGGGGAUAUACAUAUAAGACGAGAAGACCCCAUGGAGCUUUAAACCUGACAGCACCCGCUCAUUCUAUACCCCAUUAUUUGCCCGACCCCUGUCUGCUCAGUUUUAGGUUGGGGUGACCACGGAGUAUAAAAUAACCUCCAUGAAGAAGGGGAUAUUUCCCUUAUUAGAGAACUACACUUCCAAGAACUAAUAAAUUAAUUUUCAAUGACCCGAUACCCGAUAAUCGAUCAACGAACCAAGUUACCCUGGGGAUAACAGCGCAAUCCACCCUGAAAGCCCUUAUUAACAGGUGGGUUUACGACCUCGAUGUUGGAUCAGGGUAUCCCAGUGGUGCAGCAGCUACUGAGGGUUCGUUUGUUCAACGAUUAAAACCCU